CACUUGAAGUGUACUGUUAGAUAGAGGCAUGUGACCAGAAAGCUAGCUACAGUUUGUUUUCUUCCUGUAUUGAACACAAAUCAUCCCGUCUUCAAUUUGAUCGAUUCUUUACGUUAAAAAAUACCUAUAGUUGUAUUACAAAAGUAGUUUGAAAUGUUUUGGCAAAGUUUACAGGUAACUUUUGAGAUAUCUUGUAGUCACGUUGAGCAAGUUGGAACUAGUGUUUUUCUGGAUCAAACGCUUCAAAUAAAUGGACAUUUUGGAUAUAUAUCAACGGAAUUAAUCGAACAAAAGGACCAUUUGUGAUGUUUAUGGGACAUAUUGGAGUGCCAACAAAAGAAGCUCGUCAAAGCUGACCUCUAUCAAGACACCCAUGUCGACUGGAUUCCCACUGUGAAAGUCAGCAAUCCUGCAGCAGCAUCAGUCUCUACUUCUACUUCGUCCUUUUCCAGAUAUGAAAUGAGACAUCCCUCAGUUAGACAAAACGGUUGUCAAUCUGAAUGAUUCUGGUGUGCCAUACAUUUCACGACCUAGAUUACAUGGAUUGGAUUUGCACUAAACAAUUUUAUGCCAGCACAAGGAAAGCACAAGCGGUGAGGGUCGCAAACUACAUGGCAUCUGACAGUGGUGGCUGAGCUGGAAGAGAUGGGUCUCUCAUUGGACAGCACACACGCUGUGACUCCAGUGGUAGAAGAUUGUUGCGGCCUUAUGUGCCACCUGGGAUGAAGAGGACUAAG
ensembl:lncRNA